CCCCCCCCCCGGCCCCCGGGGCCGGUCCCGCCGCCCCCGCCCGCCUACGGGAGGAGCAGUGGGGAAUAUUGCGCAAUGGGCGAAAGCCUGACGCAGCGACGCCGCGUGAGGGACGAAGGUCUUCGGGUUGUAAACCUCUUUCAGCAGGGAUGAAGCGAAAGUGACAGUACCUGCAGAAGAAGCACCGGCUAACUACCGG
rnacentral:rRNA from 1 species